GGAGAGGCCUCCGCAGGGAGAGGAAACUAAUGAAGACAACGGGGAGAUGGAGGAAGGAACCAGAGAUGUUCAAAGACUAGAUCGUGGGUCAGAUGGUAAUGACUCUAACCUAAGGCAGGGAUGAUGGCAGAAAGAUGCCUUCACAGGACAAACUGAGCCUAGCGCUCAACACCCCCACCUGGGGAAAGUGACACCUGCAUGGGAACUUAUCCAUGGGUACCACCAGACCCAAAGGACCUCUAUCUUCAAGUAAACCCUACGCUCCCCAAGCAGACAGUGUCAUUUCGGUGAAUGUCCUAACAGCAAAACAAAUUUCUUCUCCGGGGAAUGGUCUUCACAAAUUAUUGCCCAGAGAGUGAAUAAUUCUUCUCUAGUCAGUGGCUAACAGGGAAAUUAUCUAUGUGCCUCUGGACUUGUUCUUGUAUCACAGUGAAUAAACUGGUCCAACCCAAACUGACACAUCCACAAACUCCCUUUGUGAUCCUAGGUAAGAUUUUAGAUGGCAUUUGUCAAUGUAAAAAAUAAAAAUAAAGAACAUAAUGUAAUCAAGUUGCUUUCACACACAACCUAGUUGGUUUUGGCCAAUUAGGAUAUUGGUAGGCUCCUUCAUUGAGCCCAGACCAGAGUACCAUCAGUCCCAGGACUCUAAAAGCCAUCUGUCUUAGUCCCUUUUGUGUUGCUAUAACACAGUAUCUGAGGCAGGGUAAUCUGCAAAGAGAAGAGGUAUUUAAUUCAUGAUUCUAGUGUCUGCGAAGUCCAAGAGCAUGGUGCCCAUGGCUUCUGGUGGGAGCCUUGUGCUGUCUCACAACAUGGUAGAGAAGUAGGAGGGGAAGUGGGCCUUGUGAAAGAGAAGCCAAACAGGAGAGGUGGCCUCACUUUAUAAAAUCCACCUUCUUGGAAAGCAACCCAUUCCCAGGAGAACUCACUCCUGAGAGAUGGCAUUUAAUCUCUCCAUGAGGGUCCCUCGUGGACCAAACACCUCCCACCACUCAACACCAUUACACUGGGGACCAAGCCUCAGUGAGUUUUGGUGAGGACCAACCAUACCAAACCAUAGCACCACUGGAACAACAAGAUUGAGAAUGGCUAUCACAACAUGGAAAUCCUAACCCAUUUUCCUAGAAAUAUACUCUCUCAUUCAUCCCAAUAGCUCUGCAGUCCCCACAACCUCUACUUAUCGUCCUCUGACCCACAACCCC
rnacentral:lncRNA from 1 species